CCCACCCUGCUCAACCGCCUCUAUAUGCGGUAUGCUCUGUACGUCCAUGUGUCAUCCUGUCUAGUCACAGUCCAAGAAACAGGAUAGGUGCACACGACCUAUACGCACACGCACACGCACAAGCACGUGCACAAGGCGUCGCCCUCACCAGCACAGUGAACCUUCUUGUUUUCCACUGCCGUCAGACGUGUGCGCGCACGCUCUGGUCGCCUUGUCUUUUCUCGCUCCAUUUUUUGCGGAUCAUUGCGGGAAACUGGAAUCAUGCAGACUCCGCAUACUCCGACGAUCAACUUCGGCCCCACGGGCGGCAGCGGCAGCCCAGGUGGCGGCACCGCCUUUUUUGGCCGAAGCGACCCGAACGCAAUGAUGUUGCAGAUGGGCCUUAGUUACGGGCAGAACAUUCUCCAAAAACACGUCCAGCAGGGCGAGGCUGGACUAGCCUACUAUAUGCCUGUCAUCCGUGCUAUUCGCAACUACUUUGCUGUGGACAACACGUACGUGAAGCGAAAGCUGAUCAUCCUCACAAUGCCCUUUUUCACCAAGUAUGUCCGCAAGUCGCCGGCCGGCGGGGAGAGCGAUUUCGGCAGCAGCGGCGGUGUCGGGGAGGCGACUGGAGACCAAGUCUUUGGCGGCCCGGCCGGCUCCCCAGCCUCAAUGUUCCCAGCUGUCUCGCCCUCUACGCUCGCGGGUCACGACGGCGGCGGCAACACCUUUGCCGGUCCCUCGCUACCGCUGAACGACGUCUUCGCGUCAGACCUGUACAUCCCUCUGAUGAGUGUGAUCACCUACGUCGUACUCGCCGCUUACAUCCUUGGCGCCAACUCGCCAACGAGCUCCGUCACGGCCGCGUCGCUGAUCUCCACCGCGUGGGUGAUCGGCAUUUGGUUUUUCCUCGAGGUUGUUGUGCUAAAGGGUGUCGCGUAUGCACUCCUUGUCGUGCCGAACCCGCCGCUGCUGGAGCUGCUCGCACUGUGCGGAUACAAGUACGUUCUUCUCUGCCUGGGUGUUCUCGCGUCGCAGUGUCUGCCGCCGAGUCGCCUCUACAGCGGCCUUUUCAUGCUGUAUGCGGUACUGGCACAUAGCUUCUUUACGGUGCGCGUUUUAGGGCUGCAGUACAUGCGUAACGACGGUCGCGUGCUGCCACGGUCUCGCGUAUUCACCUACAUGGCCGCCCUGGCGCAGGUGCCGGGCUGUGUCUGGUUGUUUGUGCGGCUGCUCUAAGCAGCGAAGGCGGCGUUGCUUUGAUGCUCCUGUGCGCAUUAAGGGGGAGAGGCGGUGCAUGAGGGAUCGAGCGAGUGUAGGGGUUUUUCUUCUGCCUGGUGAAAGUGCCUACGUGCCCUGCUCGCCACCGAUACAACACCCUGUGCCCCCCCUCCCCUGGGCUGUUUUUUGUGCUUCUCCUUUUGCCGAUGAUUCAUGACCUGACGUGCGUGCUAGUGAGGUGUGCUUGCCACUCGCUCGCCUACACUUCAAGCUCGGUAUGUCUCUUUUUUGUUUUUUUUGCUGUGCGCGCUCCCCAGAGAGGGGGCGGUAUCUGUACACGCAGCUAUUCACU
rnacentral:misc_RNA from 1 species